rnacentral:lncRNA from 1 species
AGCUGGGAUUACAGUAGAGACGGGGUUUCACCAUUUUGGCCAGGCUGGUCUUGAACUUCUCACCUUGUGAUCCACCCGCCUCAGCCUCCCAAAGUGCUGGGAUUACAGGCGUGAGCCACCGCGCCUGGUGAGCCCUCUUAUUUUUAUAACAUGCUUCCUAUGUGUUGAUUUUGUUUUCCCUAUUAGGGUAAAUUUUUGAAGGCAGGAGGCAUCUCUUAUAUCCUGUAGUGAUGAGCAUAAUACGAGUUGUUCAAUAAAUACACAUUUGGCAAAGAUGAGAGAGGUGGAGAGAGAAAGAGGUUCCUCUGCUGAAGAAGUGUGAUUACUUUUGGGUUUUGUCUACCUCAUGUGGUACCCAUUUCUAGCAGGGAAUUUCUUCCACUUGCAGACCAAGUGUGUUGGGGACUUGAGAUGCGUACAUGAGUGUGAUGUUUCCUGCUGAAAGCACAGGUGAGACGUGGUCUUGUAACACAGUGGUUAAGAAUGUGACUUUGGAGCCAGCCUGCUAGGGGCUGAAUUCUGACUCAGCCAUUUACUAACUGUGUGACCUUAGUUCCCUGAGCACAUGCUGUUGAGUAAUCCUGCCUGGACCAGUACUUCCCUCACCCUAGACUUCACCUUCAGUUCCCCUUUAUACCACCUGCUGAAGCUGCCAGCCAGCCUUUUCGACCACCCUCCCUCCCCCAGGGGUGUUUGGCUUCUCAGACCCCAGCCUGAGCUAGUGCCCUUGGCUUCC